GAAUAUGGCACCGGCAGGACAUUAUUACGUAGAGCUCAUGAAGAGUUGCUAAUGCAGCCAACAGAUGUUCGAGCUAUUUCUAGAUAGAAUCACAGAAAAUCGCAAAACCCAUUGCUGUUAGAUGUGUAAUUCGUUCUCCAACGGUUUUCCAGCAAUCAGCCUUAUUUCCUGACUGUCUGAAAACAUAGCUUUCGACCAACCUUGAUGGCAUACUCGCUCUGAAGUCGGGAGAGAGUUUGGACCACGACGCUCGAUAGCACCUAAUUCGAGAUCCUGAGAUCCAUUUUUCCUUGAUUUUUUUUGUAUACGAGGGUG